GCAUUUUUCAGUACGUGUGACAAGCUUGUCGGCUCUCGCCUCCACCUUGUUCCGCUCCACCUCCAAAAUCCCAACCCUAGGGGGAAAAGGAUGGGAUAGAUUCCUGAGAGCAAUAAGAGCAACAGCAGCAUCGACGAAGACCUGUUUCAAGAAGAACCGGAGUUACCCCAGAGGCAGCAAUGGCGCCAGAGAUAUGCGCCGUCACCGAAUGCUCCAUGGCAACCACCGUCCUAAGUGUUCCGGCA
rnacentral:lncRNA from 1 species